rfam:Gossypium arboreum cultivar AKA8401 contig_83367_1, whole genome shotgun sequence.
AACCCAUAGUGAGAGAACCUUCUCAAAAGAUCCUUGUAUCUCUCCCAUGCAUCGUAGAGUGUUUCUAAAUCUAUCUGCAUAAAAGAAGAGAUAUCAUUACGUAAUUUU